GAUGAACGCUGGCGGCGUGCCUAAUACAUGCAAGUCGAGCGAACAGACGAGGAGCUUGCUCCUCUGACGUUAGCGGCGGACGGGUGAGUAACACGUGGAUAACCUACCUAUAAGACUGGGAUAACUUCGGGAAACCGGAGCUAAUACCGGAUAAUAUAUUGAACCGCAUGGUUCAAUAGUGAAAGACGGUUUUGCUGUCACUUAUAGAUGGAUCCGCGCCGCAGUAGCUAGUUGGUAAGGUAACGGCUUACCAAGGCGACGAUGCGUAGCCGACCUGAGAGGGUGCUCGGCCACACUGGAACUGAGACACGGUCCAGACUCCUACGGGAGGCAGCAGUAGGGAAUCUUCCGCAAUGGGCGAAAGCCUGACGGAGCAACGCCGCGUGAGUGAUGAAGGUCUUCGGAUCGUAAAACUCUGUUAUUAGGGAAGAACAAAUGUGUAAGUAACUAUGCACGUCUUGACGGUACCUAAUCAGAAAGCCACGGCUAACUACGUG
rnacentral:rRNA from 1 species